rnacentral:rRNA from 1 species
CCUACGGGAGGCAGCAGUGAGGAAUAUUGGUCAAUGGCCGGAAGGCUGAACCAGCCAUGCCGCGUGAAGGUCAGUGCCCUAUGGGCGUUAAACUUCUUUUGUGCGGGAGCAAUAAUGGUCACGUGUGGCCAGACGAGAGUACCGUACGAAUAAGCAUCGGCUAACUCCGUGCCAGCAGCCGCGGUAAUACGGGGGAUGCAAGCGUUAUCCGGAUUUAUUGGGUUUAAAGGGUGCGUAGGCUGUGAGGUAAGUCAGCGGUGAAAUGCCCCCGCUCAACGGGGUGAAGUGCCAUUGAAACUGCCUGGCUGGAAUGCGGAUGCCGUGGGAGGAAUGUGUGGUGUAGCGGUGAAAUGCAUAGAUAUCACACAGAACACCGAUUGCGAAGGCAUCUCACGAAUCCGCGAUUGACGCUGAUGCACGAAAGCGUGGGUAUCAAACAGGAUUAGAUACCCGUGUAGUC